UACGGGGGGGGGCAAGCGUUGUUCGGAAUUACUGGGCGUAAAGGGCUCGUAGGUGGCCAACUAAGUCAGACGUGAAAUCCCCUCGGCUUAACCGGGGAACUGCGUCUGAUACUGGAUGGCUUGAGUGUGGGAGAGGGAUGCGGAAUUCCAGGUGUAGCGGUGAAAUGCGUAGAUAUCUGGAGGAACACCGGUGGCGAAGGCGGCAUCCUGGACCACGACUGACGCUGAGUGAGCGAAAGCCAGGGGAGCAAAGCGGG
rnacentral:rRNA from 1 species